rnacentral:tRNA from 1 species
GUUCAUAUAAUAUAUUUAUUAUUAUAUUAAUUUUGUAAAUUAAAAAAGUUUUAACUAUGAACA